GGGGAUGACUUGGUUUCGACGGGUGAGAAAAACAACAAGCUGCGUGUCGAGUUACCCAGUGGCCUACGUUAAAAACGCUGGGAAACAAUAAUCGCCAACGAUUAUUCUUACGCGAUGGCUGCCUAACCUUAGUUGUUAGCAUAGUUCCAUCUGUCGGUCGGUUUACCUGCUCAUCGGUAGAUCGAAUCGGCAUCAUAUUUUGAUGGGCCGUGUGCAAGGGUGCAGAUCGAACCUGCGACACACGUAUCAACCGAUCUGGCUUCCGGCCCGGCUUAGUCGGCUGGCUAAGACUGGAAGUGAGAUUUAAAUAAGCCGGAUACACAUGUAGAGGCUUGGAUUGUUGGCUCAUUCGGACCCGGGUUCAACUCCCGGCAUCUCCACCA
rnacentral:tmRNA from 1 species